CAGGUGCUGCAUGGCUGUCGUCAGCUCGUGCCGUGAGGUGUUCGGGUUAAGUCCUACAACGAGCCGCAACCCUUUGUUGCUAGUUAGAGCUGUCUAGCGAGACUGCCGGCAGUAUAACCGGAGGAAGGUGGGGAUGACGUCAAGUCAGUAUGGCCUUUAUGUCCAGGGCUACACACACGCUACAAUGGUCGGUACAGAGGGUCGCAAAGCCGCGAGGUGGAGCCAAUCCCACAAAGCCGAUCUCAGUUCAGAUUGCAGGCUGCAACCCGCCUGCAUGAAGUUGGAGUUGCUAGUAACCGCAGGUCAGCAAUACUGCGGUGAAUACGUUCCCGGGUCUU
rnacentral:rRNA from 1 species